GUGCUGUAUGAAAGGAGAGAAGGUUAGCACUCCCCUUGACAAGAGGGAAGAGGCCUUCGGGCCUAACAACAUGCAUACAGUUAAGGCAUUGCCAUUUACUUCAUGGCAUCUAACAACUGUUUUUA